CCGAUGUUACCACUUAGUUGUUGUGAGGCUCGGCCNUGGCCAGUAAUGCAGUUAACCACAUUAAGUGUACCNGCUUGGGGAGUACGGUCGCAAGAUUAAAACUCAAAGGAAUAGACGGGGACCCGCNCAAGCGGUGGAGCAUGUGGUUUAAUUCGACGAUACACGAAGAACCUUACCUGGACUUGACAUAGUAAGAACUUUCUAGAGAUAGAUUGGUGUCUGCUUGCAGAAACUUAUAUACAGGUGCUGCACGGCUGUCGUCAGCUCGUGUCGUGAGAUGUUGGGUUAAGUCCCGCAACGAGCGCAACCCUCGUCAUUAGUUGCUAACAGUUCGGCUGAGAACUCUAAUGAGACUGCCUACGCAAGUAGGAGGAAGGUGAGGACGACGUCAAGUCAUCAUGGCCCUUACGUCCAGGGCUACACACGUGCUACAAUGGGGUAUACAAAGAGCAGCAAUACGGUGACGUGGAGCAAAUCUCAAAAAUAUCUCCCAGUUCGGAUUGUAGUCUGCAACUCGACUACAUGAAGUUGGAAUCGCUAGUAAUCGUAGAUCAGCUAUGCUACGGUGAAUACGUUCCCGGGCCUUGUACACACCGCCCGUCACACCAUGGGAGUGGGUUGCACCAGAAGUAGCUAGUCUAACCUUCGGGAGGACGGUUACCACGGUGUGAUUCAUGACUGGGGUGAAGUCGUAACAAGGUAACC
rnacentral:rRNA from 1 species